rnacentral:rRNA from 1 species
UGCAGAGGGUGCGAGCGUUGAUCGGAGUUACUGGGCGUAAAGGGCGCGCAGGCGGUCGCGUAAGUCUGCUGUGAAAUCUCCCUGGCUCAACCGGGAGGGGGCGGCGGAGACUGCGGGACUGGAGGGACCUAGAGGCCGGUGGAAUUCCCGGUGUAGUGGUGAAAUGCGUAGAGAUCGGGAGGAACACCUGUGGCGAAGGCGAUCACCUGGGGUUGUUCUGACGCUGAGGAGCGAAAGCUAGGGGAGCAAACGGG